GGCCUCGUAGCUCAGCUGGUAGAGCGUGCGCUGUACAGAGCGUAGGCGACGUCCAUGGGUGGGUUUGAAUCCCUCCGAGGCCA
rnacentral:tRNA from 1 species